AUACGUAGGGGGCGAGCGUUGUCCGGAAUGAUUGGGCGUAAAGGGCGCGUAGGCGGCCCGGUAAGUCUGGAGUGAAAGUCCUGUUUUUAAGAUGGGAAUUGCUUGGGAUACUGUCGGGCUUGAGUGCAGGAGAGGUAAGUGGAAUUCCCAGUGUAGCGGUGAAAUGCGUAGAGAUUGGGAGGAACACCAGUGGCGAAGGCGACUUACUGGCACAAUACUGACGCUCAUGUGCGAAAGCUAGGGUAGCGAACGGGAUUAGAUACCCCGGUAGUCCUAGCCGUAAACGAUGGAUACUAGGUGUGGGUGUCGCAGGGCAUCCGUGCCGCAGCUAACGCGUUAAGUAUCCCGCCUGGGGACUACGGUCGCAAGACUGAAACUCAAAGGAAUUGACGGGG
rnacentral:rRNA from 1 species